rnacentral:rRNA from 1 species
CACGUAGGGUGCGAGCGUUAUCCGGAUUUACUGGGCGUAAAGGGUCCGUAGGCGGUUAGAUAAGUGAUAGGUUAAAACCUCUGGCUCAACCAGAGAUCAGCUUAUCAUACUAUUUAACUAGAGGAAUGGAGAGGGUGCCGGAAUUGACAGUGUAGGGGUGAAAUCCGUUGAUACUGUCAAGAACACCGGAGGCGAAGGCUGGCACCUGGACAUUUCCUGACGCUCAGGGACGAAAGCUAGGGGAGCGAACCGGAUUAGAGACCCGGGUAGUCCUAGCCGUAAACGAUGCCUGUUAGCCAUUCCCUUUUUUGGGGGUGGCGUAAGCUAACGCGUUAAACAGGCCGCCUGGGGAGUACAGCCGCAAGGCCGAAACUCAAAGGAAUUGGCGGGGGAGCGCACAACCGGUGGAGCAUGUGGUUUAAUUCGAUACAAAGCGAUGAACCUUACCUGGGCUUGACAUUCUGCCGUAUGGUUUUAUCGAAAGAUAAGGUCCUUCAGGCAGAACAGCUGCUGCAUGGCUGUCGUCAGCUCGUGCCGUGAGGUGUCCCUUUAAGUAGGGUAACGAGCGCAACCCUUACCCUGUGUUAAUUUUCACAGGGGACUGCCCCGGCAAAACCGGGGAGGAAGGAGAGGAUGAUGUCAAGUCAGCAUGGCGCUUACGCCCAGGGCUACACACAUCCUACAAUGGGGCUUACAAUGGGUUGCCAAGCCGCGAGGCGGAGCUAAUCCUAUAAAAAGCCUCUCAGUUCGGAUUGCAGGCUGCAAUUCGCCUGCAUGAAGUCGGAAUCGGUAGUAAACGCGGAUCAGCAGGCCGCGUUGAAUACGUUCCCGCUCC